rnacentral:rRNA from 1 species
AGAGUUUGAUCCUGGCUCAGGAUGAACGCUGGCGGCAUGCCUAAUACAUGCAAGUCGAACGAGAGGAAGGAAAGCUUGCUUUUCUGAAUCUAGUGGCGAACGGGUGAGUAACACGUAGGUAACCUGCCCAUGUGCCCGGGAUAACUUCUGGAAACGGAUGCUAAAACCGGAUAGGUAGCAGACAAGCAUUUGACUGCUAUUAAAGUGGCUAAGGCCAUGAACAUGGAUGGACCUGCGGUGCAUUAGCUAGUUGGUGAGGUAACGGCCCACCAAGGCGAUGAUGCAUAGCCGGCCUGAGAGGGUGGACGGCCACAUUGGGACUGAGACACGGCCCAAACUCCUACGGGAGGCAGCAGUAGGGAAUUUUCGUCAAUGGGGGGAACCCUGAACGAGCAAUGCCGCGUGAGUGAAGAAGGUCUUCGGAUCGUAAAGCUCUGUUGUAAGAGAAAAACGACAUUCAUAGGGAAUGAUGAGUGAGUGAUGGUAUCUUACCAGAAAGUCACGGCUAACUACGUGCCAGCAGCCGCGGUAAUACGUAGGUGGCGAGCGUUAUCCGGAAUGAUUGGGCGUAAAGGGUGCGUAGGUGGCAGAACAAGUCUGGAGUAAAAGGUAUGGGCUCAACCCGUACUGGCUCUGGAAACUGUUCAGCUAGAGAACAGAAGAGGACGGCGGAACUCCAUGUGUAGCGGUAAAAUGCGUAGAUAUAUGGAAGAACACCGGUGGCGAAGGCGGCCGUCUGGUCUGUUGCUGACACUGAAGCACGAAAGCGUGGGGAGCAAAUAGGAUUAGAUACCCUAGUAGUCCACGCCGUAAACGAUGAGAACUAGGUGUUGGGGGAAUAACUCAGUGCCGCAGUUAACGCAAUAAGUUCUCCGCCUGGGGAGUAUGCACGCAAGUGUGAAACUCAAAGGAAUUGACGGGGGCCCGCACAAGCGGUGG